rnacentral:rRNA from 1 species
AUUGAACGCUGGCGGCAGGCCUAACACAUGCAAGUCGAACGGUAACAGGAAGCAGCUUGCUGCUUUGCUGACGAGUGGCGGACGGGUGAGUAAUGUCUGGGAAACUGCCUGAUGGAGGGGGAUAACUACUGGAAACGGUAGCUAAUACCGCAUAACGUCGCAAGACCAAAGAGGGGGACCUUAGGGCCUCUUGCCAUCGGAUGUGCCCAGAUGGGAUUAGCUAGUAGGUGGGGUAACGGCUCACCUAGGCGACGAUCCCUAGCUGGUCUGAGAGGAUGACCAGCCACACUGGAACUGAGACACGGUCCAGACUCCUACGGGAGGCAGCAGUGGGGAAUCUUGCACAAUGGGCGCAAGCCUGAUGCAGCCAUGCCGCGUGUAUGAAGAAGGCCUUCGGGUUGUAAAGUACUUUCAGCGGGGAGGAAGGGAGUAAAGUUAAUACCUUUGCUCAUUGACGUUACCCGCAGAAGAAGCACCGGCUAACUCCGUG